rnacentral:rRNA from 1 species
GUGAGGAAUAUUGGUCAAUGGGCGCAAGCCUGAACCAGCCAUGUCGCGUGCAGGAAGACGGUCCUAUGGAUUGUAAACUGCUUUUAUUUGGGAAUAAACUCCGGUACGUGUACCGGCCUGAAGGUACCAAAUGAAUAAGCACCGGCUAACUCCGUGCCAGCAGCCGCGGUAAUACGGAGGGUGCAAGCGUAAUCCGGAAUCAUUGGGUUUAAAGGGUCCGCAGGCGGUCUUAUAAGUCAGUGGUGAAAGCCUACAGCUCAACUGUAGAACUGCCAUUGAUACUGUAGGACUUGAAUUCGAUCGAAGUGGGCGGAAUGUGACAUGUAGCGGUGAAAUGCUUAGAUAUGUCACAGAACACCGAUAGCGAAGGCAGCUCACUAGGUCUGGAUUGACGCUCAGGGACGAAAGCGUGGGGAGCAAACAGGAUUAGAAACCCGGGUAGUCC